GGGGUGGCGUACUCCUUUAAUAUUGUAAAUAUUAAAAUCUGAGUUAGAACUGCUUCUUCUUCUUCUUUAAGGGUUAGGGUUAAAUAUCAUCAGCAGUCUGAGCAGCGUGCAGUUAAACAAUGUGUGUUUUUCAGUUACGACUCGGUGGAUAUUUUGGGUUUUCUAUUCUGACCCGACAGACGACAGUGUUUGGCUGUAAAUUGCUUUGAACCUUUGUCUUGUAGCGACAGAAUACGUAAUGUUUUUUAAAGGCAUCCGGCUGAAAACCCAAUAGUGACAAAUAGUAAACAAAGCUUCCAGGUCUGAAAAGUCAAGUCAAUCCUAAAUGGCCACUGGUUUCAAAAAGAAGUCUGGUUAUAUAUAAGCUUAUGAGGAAAUUACUUCUCAUUUGAUGUCUUGCCUCUGUAACCAGUUUCCUACUGAGUGAAGGUCUCAGUUGCUGGUUUCAAGUUCAUUUAGUAAAUUAUGGUCCUGCUUGAAGUAAACAGACGAUGUAUUAAUGUGUUUGUUUUAAGUCGUUACUACGGCAACCGAUCAGGAUGGAGGUGACGCGGUGGAGCGACGUCACUUCUGGCUCCAAACGACCAACAUGGUAACUGCUGAGAAGCCAAUAAUUAUCUCCUUCAUUAAAACAGAAAUAUAUUCAGAGCGACAUGGGACACCCUCAAAUCAUUAAAACCAACACUGUAACAUAGAAUUCACACUUUAAAGCGAUCAGGAAGGAAAUAAGUCUGAUCAGUAGCUGUUAGCACAACAUGCAGGAAGUGAAAGAUUUAAACAGUCCACCUUUAAUAAUGUCCACAUAUCUGAGUUUGUAACCCGGAGCCUGUUGUGUCUGAGGUUAAAGGUGCUGCUGUUCAUAAAGCUGAUUAAAUAACUUCUUUUGUGCUCUCGUCUCCUCAGCAGACACGACAUCAUGUGGAGUGGACAUCCGUCUUCCUUUCAGUGACCUGUUAAUUCAUCACUUAUUAACACUUACCCAUCCAGCGCUACAAGUCAAGCCGGCUGAAGCCAACGCCUGAUGACACAACCUUCAUCUACCAGAGCAUCUAAAGCAUCAGGUGAUUACUGGAACUGACCCAGAAGAAAAACUUGAGAGAGGUAAAAAUAUAUGUAUGCUUGAAGAAACAGCUCUACACAUUAUCUAUUAAAACUAGAUGAAAACAAAGAAUUAUUAAAUAGCUAAAAAGCCACUACAAGUUCUAUAUAUUUUUGUCAUAUGUUAAAGCGAGAUGCAAAACAACUGACUGUUUAUAUUGCGUGGCUGAGUGCUGUGUG